GAUAUUGAUGAGCCCCAGGUGGUCAAGCAUCUCGUGACAACCGAAUGAGUGGCGCGCAGUUACAUCCAACAGAUGACACGUUUUCUGUCGCAUUUCAGGAGUUUUCGAAACUCCAAAAUUUGCUUGUAGAGUGUAACUAAAAUACACUGUUUAUUAUUCAAGAGUCUGGUUUUGUAGGAUACGUUUUUCUAUCAAUGUGUCAUUCCAGAAACCUAGAAAGUCAUCUCAACUGCGACGGAAAAGAGUAGACGUGUCCUGUCCCUAAAGUUAGAUAUGGAAGAUGGCUUCGUGCAGGGUCAGAGGGUGGACACAGGAGGACAAACCCACCACUGAGAGUCCUAUAGAGUAAGAGCCACCAGAAGCCCACCCCUAACCCAGCCCAGAGGAGGUCACGUUGUGUCACCACAGUAAAGCCCUCUGGGUAAAUAACCCCUCAAAUCUCAGUGCCUCACCGCUGCCACCACCUGAGGGGCGAGAGAGAGACGGCCCCGCAGGACAACGAGCUGGAACUCAAAUCAACUGGCAGUGGUUUGGAACAAAAUAAGACUAUUUGGCCCAAAUCUUUAUUUAUUUUUCAGUUACCUUUUGAAGUGAACAAAAUCAUUUGCUUUUUAGACAAUGUAAUGAACAAUUUGUGUUGUGCUCAUUCAAGGCCGUGGUUCUGUGAUACGGGCUGUUGCAGUGUGCAGCACUAGAAUUCAGUAAAGGUGUCAAUUUUUUAGCCUUCA